CUCUCGCGAUACCGGCCUCCUCCGAUGAGGCCACAGACUGCUGCCGCCGCCUUCCGGCGGAAGAGGGAGAGUGGUGAUGUCAUCCUCGCGAGGCCUCACCUGUUCGAGCGCACACUCAAAUGAAACCUACAGAGGGCAUCUGCUUCAUUUCUGUAACUGGAGACCUGCCAGCACCAGUUACAGACUCAGGGGCUAUUCAUAGAGAAGGUGAGAGGUCAGGGUGACACCUUUUAGUUCAACUGUGGAGCCUUCACAUUUGUUGUUUGGCGUGACGAUGGCUGCUGAGGGGCUGCCGCACAGCAACACCGUUCAGUGAUCUUCAGGGACAGAAGAAAUGAAUGGAAGUGCUUCUCUUGUU